GUGCUUGCUUUGGCAACACAUAUACUUAAGUUGGAAUGAUACAGGGAAGAUUAGCUUGGCCCCUGUGCAAGGAUGACACGCGAAUCUGUGAAGCGUUCCGUAUUUUA